AUGGCUGUGUGAGUCAGCAUUUAGAAACAAAACUGAAUGUGAUGGUGCCUCUUUCCUGAGGAUAUUAAACCCAUUAUUUUGUUUUGCAGGUCACAAAGGCAGCUUUCAAAGGCCAGAUCUUUCCCAGGGCUUAAGCUGUUCCUUGGAUACUUUUGUAUCAAACCAGAGGUGGCUCUUACUAUGUCGGCCUGAUACCCACCUGACUAGACCAGGGGAGAUUUUUAUUUAAGGGCUGGACCUAGCUGGCCUUGUAUUAUACCCAGAUUUCAAGGUAAGAGGCAUCUAAUUCAACUCUCUUAUUUGACACAUGGGCCAAAUAUAAUCCAAAGACAUAAAGUGGCUUGCCCAGUGUUUCACAAUGACUCAGAGUCAAGCAGGUACUCACAGUCCUGAGGCAGCAUCAUAUUCAGAAUCAUACUGUCUUUAGCUGAAACACACUGAUGAUGGACACAAUGAUUAGUAAAUAGGUAAACAGACAGAUGGAUUUCUUACACAGUAUUUACAGAUGGGUAUAACAAGCUGGUCUGAACAUUGAGGAUUUUGUUGACAAAUCUUGUGAAAAACAGAAUUUGCAAAGUAUUUCCAUCUGGCUGGGUGCAGUGACUCAUGCCUGUAAUCCCAGCACUUUAGGAGGCAGAGAUGGAUGGAUCACCUGAGGUUAGGAGUUCAAGACCAGCCUGACCAACAUGACAAACCACUGUCUCUACUAAAAAUACAAAAAUUAGCCAGGCAUGGUAGUGCAUGCCUGUAAUCCAAGCUACUCAGAAGGCUGAGGCAGGAGAAUCACUUGGACCCAGGGGGCAGAGGUUGCAGUGAGCCAAGAUCGCGCCACUGCACUCCAGCCUGGGAGACAUAGCGAGACUCCAUCUCAAAAAAAAAAAAAAAGAAAAAAGUAUUUCCAUCUGUGGUAAAGUAGCACUCGUACCCAAUAAUAAUUUACAACUUAGCUCAGCAAAUGAUUCAGAGAACAAAGCUCAUCAUUACAGGAAACUACAGUUGUCAGCACUAAUAAAGGUAAUUAACAUUGAUGUUUAAGUUUUUUUGCUUACCGAGUAACAGGCAAGGGAUUUAAAAGAAAUAACUUUAUGAGGAAGUUAACCAGCCGUCCCAUAACUCUGUACUUCGGUUCCAUUGUUUUAAACAUCUUAAUUGCCAGGAAAACUUAAGCACACAAAAUGAAAGAAAUAGAUUGGGAACUCAGGGAGUGUGGUUCGUCAGUUUCCACAGCUUCCUUUUUUCAUUAUAAUACAGUUUCCAUUUUUAAUUAAAUGAAUAAAAUAGCUGUGUUGCCUGUGAGAUUACAUACAAUUGCCAAAUAAAGCUGCAGAC
rnacentral:lncRNA from 1 species